CCUACGGGGGGCUGCAGUGGGGAAUAUUGGACAAUGGGGGGAACCCUGAUCCAGCCAUGCCGCGUGUGUGAAGAAGGCCCUCGGGUUGUAAAGCACUUGCAGUGAGGAAGAACGCCUGGUGGUGAAUACCCAUCAGGAAAGACAUCACUCACAGAAGAAGCACCGGCUAACUCCGUGCCAGCAGCCGCGGUAAUACGGAGGGUGCGAGCGUUAAUCGGAAUUACUGGGCGUAAAGCGCGCGUAGGUGGCUUGAUAAGCCGGUUGUGAAAGCCCCGGGCUCAACCUGGGAACGGCAUCCGGAACUGUCAAGCUAGAGUGCAGGAGAGGAAGGUAGAAUUCCCGGUGUAGCGGUGAAAUGCGUAGAGAUCGGGAGGAAUACCAGUGGCGAAGGCGGCCUUCUGGACUGACACUGACACUGAGGUGCGAAAGCGUGGGUAGCAAACAGGAUUAGAUACCCGGGUAGUC
rnacentral:rRNA from 1 species